UACGGAGGAUCCAAGCGUUGUCCGGAUUUAUUGGGUUUAAAGGGUACGCAGGCGGGAUAUUAAGUCAGUGGUGAAAGCCUACAGCUUAACUGUAGAAUUGCCAUUGAAACUGAUAUUCUUGAGUGUGGUUGAGGUGGUUGGAAUAUAUCAUGUAGCGGUGAAAUGCUUAGAUAUGAUAUAGAACACCAAUUGCGAAGGCAGAUCACUAAACCAUUACUGACGCUCAUGUACGAAAGCGUGGGGAGCGAACAGG
rnacentral:misc_RNA from 1 species